GCUUCCUACGGGAGGCAGCAGUGGGGAAUAUUGGACAAUGGGCGCAAGCCUGAUCCAGCCAUGCCGCGUGUGUGAAGAAGGCCUUCGGGUUGUAAAGCACUUUUGUUCGGGAAGAAAAGCUACCGGUUAAUACCCGGGAGUCAUGACGGUACCGAAAGAAUAAGCACCGGCUAACUUCGUGCCAGCAGCCGCGGUAAUACGAAGGGUGCAAGCGUUACUCGGAAUUACUGGGCGUAAAGCGUGCGUAGGUGGUGCGUUAAGUCUGUCGUGAAAGCCCCGGGCUCAACCUGGGAAUGGCGAUGGAUACUGGCGCGCUAGAGUGCGGUAGAGGAGAGUGGAAUUCCCGGUGUAGCAGUGAAAUGCGUAGAGAUCGGGAGGAACAUCAGUUGCGAAGGCGGCUCUCUGGACCAACACUGACACUGAGGCACGAAAGCGUGGGGAGCAAACAGGAUUAGAUACCCUGGUAGUCCACGCCCUAAACGAUGCGAACUGGACGUUGGGAGCAACUAGGCUCUCAGUGUCGAAGCUAACGCGUUAAGUUCGCCGCCUGGGGAGUACGG
rnacentral:rRNA from 1 species